rnacentral:rRNA from 1 species
AGAGUUUGAUCAUGGCUCAGGACGAACGCUGGCGGCGCGCUUAACACAUGCAAGUCGAGCGAGAACCUAGGCUUCGGCCUAGGGGACAGCGGCGAACGGGUGAGUAACACGUGGGUAAUCUGCCCUCGACAUCGGGAUAGCCCGGGGAAACCCGGAUUAAUACCGAAUAGCCCAUCCGCUUUUCGGAGCGGUUGGAAAAGGUAGCUUUGGCCUCCGGUCGAGGAGGAGCCCGCGGCGGAUUAGCUUGUUGGUGAGGUAACGGCCCACCAAGGCGACGAUCCGUAGCUGGUCUGAGAGGACGAUCAGCCACACUGGGACUGAGACACGGCCCAGACUCCUACGGGAGGCAGCAGUGGGGAAUCUUGCGCAAUGGGCGAAAGCCUGACGCAGCGACGCCGCGUGCGGGAAGAAGGCCUUCGGGUUGUAAACCGCUUUCAGGAGGGACGAAGCCACUCAGGUUAAUAGCCGAGAGGGUGACGGUACCUCCAGAAGAAGCCCCGGCUAACUACGUGCCAGCAGCCGCGGUA